rnacentral:rRNA from 1 species
GACGAACGCUGGCGGCGUGCUUAACACAUGCAAGUCGAGCGAGGCCCCUCCUUCGGGAGGGUGUCCUAGCGGCGAACGGGUGAGUAACACGUGGGCAACCUGCCCUCAGCUCUGGGAUAACUCCGGGAAACCGGGGCUAAUACCGGAUACGACCUCCACGGGCAUCUGCGGAGGUGGAAAGUUUUUCGGCUGAGGAUGGGCCCGCGGCCUAUCAGCUAGUUGGUGGGGUAGUGGCCCACCAAGGCGACGACGGGUAGCCGGCCUGAGAGGGCGACCGGCCACACUGGGACUGAGACACGGCCCAGACUCCUACGGGAGGCAGCAGUGGGGAAUAUUGCGCAAUGGGCGAAAGCCUGACGCAGCGACGCCGCGUGAGGGACGAAGGCCUUCGGGUUGUAAGCCUCUUUCAGCAGGGACGAAGCGAAAGUGACGGUACCUGCAGAAGAAGCACCGGCCAACUACGUG